AGCGAACGCUGGCGGCAGGCCUAACACAUGCAAGUCGAGCGCCCGUAGCAAUACGGGAGCGGCAGACGGGAGAGUAACACGUGGGAACGUACCCUUCAGUUCGGAACAACCCAGGGAAACUUGGGCUAAUACCGGAUACGUCCGUAAGGAGAAAGAUUUAUCGCUGAAGGAUCGGCCCCGCGUCUGAUUAGCUAGUUGGUGGGGUAAUGGCCCACCAAGGCGACGAUCAGUAGCUGGUCGAGAGGAUGAUCAGCCACAUUGGGACUGAGACACGGCCCAAACUCCUACGGGAGGCAGCAGUGGGGAAUAUUGGACAAUGGGCGCAAGCCUGAUCCAGCCAUGCCGCGUGAGUGAUGAAGG
rnacentral:rRNA from 1 species